ACGUAGGGUGCGAGCGUUAAUCGGAAUUACUGGGCGUAAAGCGUGCGCAGGCGGUUUUGUAAGACAGAUGUGAAAUCCCCGGGCUUAACCUGGGAACUGCAUUUGUGACUGCAAGACUAGAGUGUGUCAGAGGGAGGUGGAAUUCCGCGUGUAGCAGUGAAAUGCGUAGAGAUGCGGAAGAACACCGAUGGCGAAGGCAGCCUCCUGGGAUAACACUGACGCUCAGGCACGAAAGCGUGGGGAGCAAACAGGAUUAGAUACCCUGGUAGUCCACGCCCUAAACGAUGUCAACUAGUUGUUGGGGAUUCAUUUCCUUAGUAACGUAGCUAACGCGUGAAGUUGACCGCCUGGGGAGUACGGCCGCAAGGUUA
rnacentral:rRNA from 1 species